AUUGAACGCUGGCGGCAUGCCUUACACAUGCAAGUCGAACGGUAACGCGGGGGCAACCCUGGCGACGAGUGGCGAACGGGUGAGUAAUACAUCGGAACGUACCCAGUAGUGGGGGAUAGCUCGGCGAAAGCCGGAUUAAUACCGCAUACGACCUAUGGGUGAAAGCGGGGGAUCGCAAGACCUCGCGCUAUUGGAGCGGCCGAUGUCGGAUUAGCUAGUUGGUGAGGUAAAGGCNCACCAAGGCUACGAUCCGUAGCUGGUCUGAGAGGACGACCAGCCACACUGGGACUGAGACACGGCCCAGACUCCUACGGGAGGCAGCAGUGGGGAAUUUUGGACAAUGGGCGAAAGCCUGAUCCAGCCAUGCCGCGUGUGUGAAGAAGGCCU
rnacentral:rRNA from 1 species